GGAAGCGUACCUAAGCAGCCACAGGACUACUUUGAUAGAGUACACCACGGGGGUUUAACUCCCCCCGCUUCU
rnacentral:tRNA from 1 species